CCUACGGGGGGCUGCAGUAGGGAAUAUUGCACAAUGGGGGAAACCCUGAUGCAGCAACGCCGCGUGAGUGAAGAAGGCCCUUGGGUUGUAAAGCUCUUUAGCGAGGGAAGAAGGCCGGUACGGUGAACAAUCGUGCUGGUGGACGGUACCUCGAGAAUAAGCACCGGCUAAUUUCGUGCCAGCAGCCGCGGUAAUACGAAAGGUGCAAGCGUUACUCGGAAUCACUGGGCGUAACGCGCACGUAGGCGGACUCGUAGGUCAAUUGUGAAAUACCU
rnacentral:rRNA from 1 species